rnacentral:lncRNA from 1 species
AUACUUAAAAAAUCGUCACAUCUAUUCCUUUGCGCCACCUGAUGGUAGCUGAAUAUUUUCGGAACAAAAUAUGAGCAUCCAGAUUAGGACUGAGUGUGACUCACUGUGACGGACUGUCACAGCUAGUUAUCAAAAGAAAGUUGUUUUUGCGUCGUCAGACUCACUGACACUAGUUCGACUUCGAAAAGUAUGUUAUCAACUGAGACGUGUACCACGUCCGACGUAAAAAAAAAAAAAAGAACUGCUUUGGCAGAAGGCAUCCUCUGAAACGUCUGUAGGCUUAUUAUACAUUUUCUUUGGUCCAAUGUUCUUGUUUGUGCUUAACUGGCGUCCUACUUUGUCUUUUUACUUAUUUGUCAUCUUUGGCACAGCAAAGUUUCAGCUAUAAUAAAACUGCAUCUAUUUGUCCACGUUUAGGAUUGGAGUUAAAUCAUUAUGGAUCAGUGCAAUGGAAGGAUACAUUAGGCCUGUAACCGGUAUUAGAUGGAGCAAAAUAUUACAUGAAGCUGCUUUAAACUCAACUAUUCUUACAGGCAGAGCAUCCUAGAUGUAGGUCUCCCUCUGCUGCUGGUCUCCCUCACAAGCAACUUUGGCUGUGACUGUGCAUAUAUGUGGCAGCCUGGCGGGAUUGAAGAGCAGCUCUGGGACCUGAGUUUGGAUGUCUGAGCUGUGUCAUCAUUUGCCUUCACUACAAUUCACAAGCUACUUCUGCACAACUGGCUCUUCAGUGAGCCCACCGACUGCAAUAGAAAUAUAUAGGGCUAACAUUUAGCUAUACAUAUCAUCCUGAGCAACCUGAAUGACUGAGUGUGCAUCAGGAGAAUGAUGAUAAAGCUGCAAGAUAGUGUCACUAUCAAACCUUUUGUUAGUUAGACUGUAAUUAAUGUUUCAUUAGUGAUUAUCAAUUGAUUGAUUUUUUAUUAUCAAUUUGCUAUUUCUGAUGUCUGCCAUAAUCAAUUGUCAUUAUUUUGUUCUUCAGAUGUUUUUUCCACAGAAACCCCAGUAAACAGAAAGCAAGGGGGGGGGCAAAAAUGUUUGGAAGUUUGGAAACAGACUGGUAUGUGACGAAUCUAUGCUCUGCCUCCCUGUAUGCCAGGAAAUGCAGUAGAUAGGGAAAAAACAGGACCAUGAGAUCGGGUGCCAGUCCAAAAUUGCAUUUGCACUUGAUGUCAGUAUGAGGAUAGCGGUCCUCCAACAGUAAUAGGAAAUACUUGUCUGGCAAGGCAGUAGCGGUUACCAGUAAAUGCCUUUUACUGUGUGGACGUUGGGCAGGGGGUGGUAGAUCAGAAGAGGUUUACGCAAGCAUAGACCUUUGAACACGAGUGAGAAACCUCAUCAGUGUGCUGUCGUGAGCAACUGGUUUUCUCUAGAAUCCACUCUGAUGACCAUCCUCACCCCAAUGUAAGAUGGGAAGGGCAACAGAAUAUUGAGUUAUCUAUCAGCCUAAUGUCUGGGAGAGAUCCUUUUCCCGCUCUUUGUGCUCAAGUU